UUGCUGGGCGGAUUAGUGGCGAACGGGUGAGUAAUACGUGAGUAACCUGCCCUUGACUCUGGGAUAAGCCUGGGAAACUGGGUCUAAUACUGGAUACUACCUCUUGCCGCAUGGUGGGUGGUGGAAAGGGUUUUACUGGUUUUGGAUGGGCUCACGGCCUAUCAGCUUGUUGGUGGGGUAAUGGCUCACCAAGGCGACGACGGGUAGCCGGCCUGAGAGGGUGACCGGCCACACUGGGACUGAGACACGGCCCAGACUCCUACGGGAGGCAGCAGUGGGGAAUAUUGCACAAUGGGCGGAAGCCUGAUGCAGCGACGCCGCGUGAGGGAUGACGGCCUUCGGGUUGUAAACCUCUUUCAGUAGGGAAGAAGCGAGAGUGACGGUACCUGCAGAAGAAGCGCCGGCUAACUACGUGCCAGCAGCCGCGGUAAUACGUAGGGCGCAAGCGUUGUCCGGAAUUAUUGGGCGUAAAGAGCUCGUAGGCGGUUUGUCGCGUCUGCUGUGAAAGCCCGGGGCUCAACCCCGGGUCUGCAGUGGGUACGGGCAGACUAGAGUGCAGUAGGGGAGACUGGAAUUCCUGGUGUAGCGGUGAAAUGCGCAGAUAUCAGGAGGAACACCGAUGGCGAAGGCAGGUCUCUGGGCUGUUACUGACGCUGAGGAGCGAAAGCAUGGGGAGCGAACAGGAUUAGAUACCCUGGUAGUCCAUGCCGUAAACGUUGGGCACUAGGUGUGGGGGACAUUCCACGUUUUCCGCGCCGUAGCUAACGCAUUAAGUGCCCCGCCUGGGGAGUACGGCCGCAAGGCUAAAACUCAAAGGAAUUGACGGGGGCCCGCACAAGCGGCGGAGCAUGCGGAUUAAUUCGAUGCAACGCGAAGAACCUUACCAAGGCUUGACAUUCACCGGACCGCCCCAGAGAUGGGGUUUCCCUUCGGGGCUGGUGGACAGGUGGUGCAUGGUUGUCGUCAGCUCGUGUCGUGAGAUGUUGGGUUAAGUCCCGCAACGAGCGCAACCCUCGUUCUAUGUUGCCAGCACGUGAUGGUGGGGACUCAUAGGAGACUGCCGGGGUCAACUCGGAGGAAGGUGGGGAUGACGUCAAAUCAUCAUGCCCCUUAUGUCUUGGGCUUCACGCAUGCUACAAGGCCGGUACAAAGGGUUGCGAUACUGUGAGGUGGAGCUAAUCCCAAAAAGCCGGUCUCAGUUCGGAUUGAGGUCUGCAACUCGACCUCAUGAAGUCGGAGUCGCUAGUAAUCGCAGAUCAGCAACGCUGCGGUGAAUACGUUCCCGGGCCUUGUACACACCGCCCGUCAAGUCACGAAAGUUGGUAACACCCGAAGCCGG
rnacentral:rRNA from 1 species